rnacentral:rRNA from 1 species
UACGGGGGGGGCAAGCGUUGUUCGGAAUUACUGGGCGUAAAGGGCUCGUAGGCGGCCAACUAAGUCAGACGUGAAAUCCCUCGGCUUAACCGGGGAACUGCGUCUGAUACUGGAUGGCUUGAGUUUGGGAGAGGGAUGCGGAAUUCCAGGUGUAGCGGUGAAAUGCGUAGAUAUCUGGAGGAACACCGGUGGCGAAGGCGGCAUCCUGGACCAACACUGAUGCUGAGGAGCGAAAGCGUGGGGAGCGAACAGG